AGGUUUAAUCAGUUAGUGCUUCACCUGUAUACAAAGGCAAGUUGAUGGACCAUAAAUCAUUCACAGGGUAGGACUUCUAGAUGAAUAAAGAUAUGGUGUAUUUUCCAGGACUAAAUUAUCUUUGAGCUGUGAUCAAGCAUGAGAAAUUUCCACCCUGAGGAAAAAUAUUUGAAGGUUGCAAAAUGAAUCAUCAUAAAAUGUCAAAGGGUUCAAGCAAACGAAUUUUCAAAAAAUAAGUCUUCUGUUAUGUAUAAUGUUGGUCAGAACUCUUAGUUACAAAGACAGAAAUCAAUUUGUAACAACUUAACCAAUAAUAAGUAAUGGAUUGGACAUAUAUUGUGGUAGCACAGAGAACUGAAAGAAAAGCUAAACCACCAAACCUCAGACAAGACAACUCCAGAGUCAGACCAGUUCAAACCAGGCAACAAAUGCCUGUAAGAUUCUGUCUAUCACUGGUUUCUAUUUCUUCCUGUAAGUCAUCUUUAUUAUCUUAACCAUAGAUGGACUUCUUCACGAGCUGGGGGUGGAAACAGCCAUCUGCAUCUCUGUCCUCAAACACUCUCACCUCUGAAGCUAGAGAAAGGGGACUACCUCUGCUGUUUAAAAAAAUCCUUUCAAAAGAUUCUGCCUUUCAAAAAAGGGCCAAUUUGGGGUACUUGCCAACAUGAACCACUAUGGCUGGGGGAAUAAAAUAUCAUUUUUGACCCAGCUCGGGUCUCUGCUCUGUCUCCAAUGCCUUGUAAUGGACAAUUCUCAACAAGUAUUUAUGGAAUUAAUAUCCCAAAGACAACUUUAUUAAAAUAGGAACAUUGAAAAAAAGCCCAAGUACUUAAAAAAAUCCUGUGUCUGUUAUCUGCAAUGAUGACUGUAAUUUUACAACAUGAUGUAUGUGUUCUCUGCAGUUACAAUAUUUUAAAAUGUAAUUCUGACAAGAUUAUUUCUACAUAAUCAUCAAAUCCAUCAUUUAAUCAACCUGUUGUUUGUUAUUUAAGAUUAAUUAAAAGGCAGAUGACUGCAUGCCCAGUUUAUUGAGUGUGUGAUAAAGUCAGCUCCUCAACUGGUUUAAAGCACUGAAUAAACUUUUUUUUGAAAA